GUGCAGAUGUUGCUGAAUCAGAGCUAAAUCAAUCUGGUGUGCUUGAGGUCGAAAGAAGCUCUCAAUUAGAGCCGAAUCAGUCUGGUAAUAUUGAGGUCACAAACAGUGAUGAUGUUGCUGAAUUAGAGCCAAAUCAGUCUGUUAGUGUUGAGGUCACAAGCCCUGCAGAUGUUGCUGAAUCAGAGCCAAAUCAGUCUAGCAAUAGCGAAGACAAGAUUGAACGUGUAAGAGAAUUGAAUUUGGCUGUAGAUACUAAAGGAAACCAAGAUUCUCCAAUUGCAAUUACUGAAGGGUUUAAAAAUGAUGGUGAUUUGGACAAUCAAGGGAAGGAACCUGUUCGAUUUUCCAACAAGCUUCCUGUGGAAGGUCCUCAAAAGGAAUCUGAGGUACAGUUGGAGCAGAAAACAAAGACAAUUCCUUGUCUAGUGGUGGCUGAUGUAAAAUUGGAGGAAGCAGCAGAAGUUAUUGAUGCCUCUGCCGUUAGUGAAUAUGACAAUGAGUCGUCUGCUGAUCAUACCCAAGACAGUGUUGCAGAAACAAGUGUUGUUAAUGGUGGUUUAGUUGCCAGUCAAGAUACAUCUCAGCAAAACAGCUCUUUGAAGGAGAUUGAGACCUUGAUUUCUUGCAAUGCCCAAAUUGGUAGAAAUGAAGCCCCAACUUCUCUUGACACUGAAAAUGGCAAGACCUCUCCAUGUACAAGAGAUAAUGAUACAAUUGGAUAUCCAACUAAUGAAAUUACCGAGACUGUUGUACAGUUAAAAUCAGAGGCUGUUCAUGGGCAUAUUACAUGUGAUAACGGAGAAUAUUUGCCUACUGAUCAUCAAGAAAGUGUUUCACAGACCAUUGCUAAUGACUUUGCUCAUGCCAGUCAAACCACAACUGAAGGAAAUAAGCCUUCUGAAGUUGUCAGAAUGAUUAUUCAUCACAAUGUGGCUGUUGAAAGUUAUGAAAGCAUUCCAGUUGCUUCUGCUAGUGAUACAAUACUGGAACCAGUGGUUGAAGUUGCAGAUUCUUGUACUGUGGCUGUGGAUGAUGCAGAGAUAAAUGAUGAUAUGAGAACAGAGACUUUGGUAGAAAAGUUGGACGUGAAUAGCAGUGAAAAUGUUGGUUCUUGUUCUAUUGGUUAUAGAGAAGUUGUGAUUGAGCCAGGUAGAAGCCAUCUUGUAACUGAUACAGAGCCAAGUUGCCCAUUUAAUGAUGCAGAAACAGAAGUUGAGACUGAUUCCACAGCCAUUGAAUCUAGAGAAAAAGUAUCUACUUUCUCAAGUGAUGAGGUGGACAAAGAAAUUGAGGUUUCACUGGGGGCUGCUAAAUGUGUUGGCAGCAACUCUGUUUCAGUUGAAAAUAGAGAGGACUGUAUACAUGAAUCGGUUGAGAAUCCAUUUGGUGCAGAAGCAGAGCCAAAUCUUGAAAAUACACUGAUGGAUUCAAGUGAAGUUGUGGCCAAUGUUGAUAGAUGUGCAUCUGAAUGUGAGGGUCUGAAUGGCUCUGUUAUUACUAGUGAAAGAACCAUAAAUUGCAUUCAGGAUGCUGAAAAAAGUGGAGACCAAUUGGUUACCAUUGAUGGUGAUGAAAAAACACCUCAAGAAAUGGAGGUCACCGAUGAGGCUAAAGAAGCCUCACCAUCCUCUCCAGGAGGCUCCUCAGUAGAUGCUUCCGAGGGGCAAAAUGCAGCAGUUGAGGUAGGGAAAAAGCCAUUCUACUACAUGAUCAGAAUUCCUAGAUAUGAUGAUGAUGAAAAUUUAAAAGAACAGAUAAAUCAUGCUCAGUUUCAAGUUGAUGAGAAGACUAAAAGUCGGGAUGUUAUUCGAGCUGAAAUGCAACGGAAAAGGGCCAUUUGUAAUGAGCAUGGUGCUUGUGUUGAUGCUGCCAUAUCGGAAGAAGUAGCAGCUCGCAAUUUGCUUAAGGCUAAACGCAAGGAAAUAGACUCUGCUCAAUCUCUGAUUAACAGAGUGAAGAGUGCCUCUUCUGUUGAGGAAAUUGAUGGCAAGAUACGUAGUAUGGAACACAUGAUACAGCAUGAAACCCUGCCCUUAAAGGAAGAAAAGAGUUACAUCCGUGAAAUCAAGCAGUUGAAGCAAAUUCGUGAACAGAUUUCUUCUAGUUUGGGUAAGCCAGAGGAUGUUCAGGAGGCUAUAGAUCAGAAAGACCAAGUUGAAGAACGCCUGAAGCUUUUGAGGAAAGAAGCAGACCACUUGAGAGAAAAUGUUCUCAAAGCUGAAGCAGCCAUUAGAAAUGCUAAGAAGACAUAUCAAGAUGAAAAUGCUAAAAUAAAUGAAUUGGUAGCUCAGUUUAGAGCCGCAGAUGACAUUCGGCAGGAAGCAUAUGCACAUCUACAGACUUUGAGGAAGAGAUUAUAUGAUAAGGUAUGUAGUUUCUAUAUUUGCACAUGAUUUUCAAUAUGUGAAUUCUUCAUUACUACAUUAAGCUAUAUGCCAAAUUUUUUGUAACAUAGGGACCAUGAGAGAGCUUUAUAUGGGUGAGGGGGUCAUAGCCCUAAACUUUGUAUAAUUCUUCUUUUCACCGUGUAAUGUUUUCCAUCAAUAUUUCUCUCCAAUUUUAGAUGGUCUGGCCCUACACUUGAUGACGAAGUAACUUAUGCUCCGUGUAAACGAUAUGAUCACAAUAAUACUAGAAGAACAAGCAUUCUAAUUAUGUAAAACAAAUUGAUUCUCUAAUAUUAUCCAUUGAAUUUUCAGAAUAAAUACUUUUGGAAGUACAGGGAUGAUUCAAAGGUAGCUUAUGAUUUAGCAUCCAAGGGAAAUAAAGAGGAACUCCAAUGUCAUUGUGUUAACC
rnacentral:misc_RNA from 1 species